GACAGAGGGUGCAAACGUUGUUCGGAAUUACUGGGCGUAAAGCGCGUGUAGGCGGCCCUGCAAGUCGGAUGUGAAAUCCCACGGCUCACCCGUGGAACGGCUGGGUAUACUGGGUGUCUUGAGCCACUUAGGGGCUGCCGGAACAAAUGGUGGAGCGGUGAAAUGCGUAGAUAUCAUUUGGAACGCCAAUGGUGAAAACAGGCAGCUGGGAGUGUGCUGACGCUGAGACACGAAAGCCAGGGGAGCGAACGGG
rnacentral:rRNA from 1 species